rnacentral:rRNA from 1 species
CAGGGAAUCUUGCACAAUGGGCGAAAGCCUGAUGCAGCGACGCCGCGUGGGGGAUGAAGGCCUUAGGGUCGUAAACCCCUUUCAGCAGGGACGAAAAUGACGGUACCUGCAGAAGAAGCCCCGGCCAACUACGUGCCAGCAGCCGCGGUAAGACGUAGGGGGCGAGCGUUGUCCGGAUUUAUUGGGCGUAAAGAGCUCGUAGGCGGUUGCGUAAGUCGGAUGUGAAAACUCAGGGCUCAACCCUGAGACGCCAUCCGAUACUGCGCUGACUUGAAUCCAGUAGGGGAGUGUGGAAUUCCUGGUGUAGCGGUGAAAUGCGCAGAUAUCAGGAGGAACACCCAUGGCGAAGGCAGCACUCUGGGCUGGUAUUGACGCUGAGGAGCGAAAGCAUGGGUAGCGAACAGGAUUAGAUACCCGGGUAGUCCCUGAGCGGGCUGGCAAGGCGCAU